rnacentral:rRNA from 1 species
GACGAACGCUGGCGGCGUGCUUAACACAUGCAAGUCGAACGGAAAGGCCCUGCUUUUGUGGGGUGCUCGAGUGGCGAACGGGUGAGUAACACGUGAGUAACCUGCCCUUGACUUUGGGAUAACUUCAGGAAACUGGGGCUAAUACCGGAUAGGAGCUCCUGCUGCAUGGUGGGGGUUGGAAAGUUUCGGCGGUUGGGGAUGGACUCGCGGCUUAUCAGCUUGUUUGUGGGGUAGUGGCUUACCAAGGCUUUGACGGGUAGCCGGCCUGAGAGGGUGACCGGCCACAUUGGGACUGAGAUACGGCCCAGACUCCUACGGGAGGCAGCAGUGGGGAAUAUUGCACAAUGGGCGGAAGCCUGAUGCAGCAACGCCGCGUGCGGGAUGACGGCCUUCGGGUUGUAAACCGCUUUCGCCUGUGACGAAGCGUGAGUGACGGUAAUGGGUAAAGAAGCACCGGCUAACUACGUGCCAGCAGCCGCGGUGAUACGUAGGGUGCGAGCGUUGUCCGGAUUUAUUGGGCGUAAAGGGCUCGUAGGUGGUUGAUCGCGUCGGAAGUGUAAUCUUGGGGCUUAACCCUGAGCGUGCCUUCGAUACGGGUUGACUUGAGGAAGGUAGGGGAGAAUGGAAUUCCUGGUGGAGCGGUGGAAUGCGCAGAUAUCAGGAGGAACACCAGUGGCGAAGGCGGUUCUCUGGGCCUUUCCUGACGCUGAGGAGCGAAAGCGUGGGGAGCGAACAGGCUUAGAUACCCUGGUAGUCCACGCUGUAAACGGUGGGUACUAGGUGUGGGGUCCAUUCCACGGGUUCCGUGCCGUAGCUAACGCUUUAAGUACCCCGCCUGGGGAGUACGGCCGCAAGGCUAAAACUCAAAGGAAUUGACGGGGCCCCGCACAAGCGGCGGAGCAUGCGGAUUAAUUCGAUGCAACGCGUAGAACCUUACCUGGGUUUGACAUGGAUCGGGAGUGCUCAGAGAUGGGUGUGCCUCUUUUGGGGUCGGUUCACAGGUGGUGCAUGGCUGUCGUCAGCUCGUGUCGUGAGAUGUUGGGUUAAGUCCCGCAACGAGCGCAACCCUUGUUCACUGUUGCCAGCACGUUAUGGUGGGGACUCAGUGGAGACCGCCGGGGUCAACUCGGAGGAAGGUGGGGAUGACGUCAAGUCAUCAUGCCCCUUAUGUCCAGGGCUUCACGCAUGCUACAAUGGCUGGUACAGAGAGUGGCGAGCCUGUGAGGGUGAGCGAAUCUCGGAAAGCCGGUCUCAGUUCGGAUUGGGGUCUGCAACUCGACCUCAUGAAGUCGGAGUCGCUAGUAAUCGCAGAUCAGCAACGCUGCGGUGAAUACGUUCCCGGG